CCUACGGGAGGCAGCAGUAGGGAAUCUUCCGCAAUGGACGAAAGUCUGACGGAGCAACGCCGCGUGAACGAUGAAGGCCUUCGGGUCGUAAAGUUCUGUUGUUAGGGAAGAACAAGUGCUAGUUGAAUAAGCUGGCACCUUGACGGUACCUAACCAGAAAGCCACGGCUAACUACGUGCCAGCAGCCGCGGUAAUACGUAGGUGGCAAGCGUUGUCCGGAAUUAUUGGGCGUAAAGCGCGCGCAGGCGGUUUCUUAAGUCUGAUGUGAAAGCCCCCGGCUCAACCGGGGAGGGUCAUUGGAAACUGGGAAACUUGAGUGCAGAAGAGGAAAGUGGAAUUCCAAGUGUAGCGGUGAAAUGCGUAGAGAUUUGGAGGAACACCAGUGGCGAAGGCGACUUUCUGGUCUGUAACUGACGCUGAGGCGCGAAAGCGUGGGGAGCAAACAGGAUUAGAUACCCUGGUAGUCCACGCUGUAAACGAUGAGUGCUAAGUGUUAGAGGGUUUCCGCCUUUAGUGCUGAAGUUACGCUAUUAAGCACUCCGCCGUCGGGAGGUACGGUCGGCGAGACGUAGAACGUUAAAGGUAAGUUAGUACGGCGUGAGACGUCGCCGACGGACGACGACGAGGGAGGUUAGG
rnacentral:rRNA from 1 species